GACGAACGCUGGCGGCGUGCCUAAUACAUGCAAGUUGAGCGCUGAAGGUUGGUACUUGUACCAACUGGAUGAGCAGCGCACGGGUGAGUAACGCGUGGGGAAUCUGCCUUUGAGCGGGGGACAACAUUUGGAAACGAAUGCUAAUACCGCAUAAAAACUUUAAACACAAGUUUUAAGAUUGAAAGAUGCAAUUGCAUCACUCAAAGAUGAUCCCGCGUUGUAUUAGCUAGUUGGUGAGGUAAAGGCUCACCAAGGCGAUGAUACAUAGCCGACCUGAGAGGGUGAUCGGCCACAUUGGGACUGAGACACGGCCCAAACACCUACGGGAGGCAGCAGUAGGGAAUCUUCGGCAAUGGACGAAAGUCUGACCGAGCAACGCCGCGUGAGUGAAGAAGGGUGUCGGAUCGGAAAACUCUGUUGGUAGAGAAGAACGUUGGUGAGAGUGGAAAGCUCAUCAAGUGACGGUAACUACCCAGAAAGGGACGGCUAACUACGUG
rnacentral:rRNA from 1 species